rnacentral:lncRNA from 1 species
AGGCUAGGGAUCAAAUCAGAGCUGUAGCUGCCUCCCUACACCACAGCAACUUAGGAUCUGAGCUGCCUCUGGGUCCUACAACACAGCUCACAGCAAACCCAAAUCCUUAACACACUGAGCAAGGCCAGAGAUCAAACAUGCAUCCUCAUGGAUACUAGUUGGAUUUGUAACCCGUGGAGAUACAAUGGGAACUCCCUCCUCUGGUAGUUUGUAAUUUGGUUCUAGUUCACUUAAUCCUAGUCACGACUCACUCAGUAUGUUUAUGUUAACACCCAUAGUUUGAAAAACACCAUCCUAACCAUCUCUUGGAGCUAAUCCCUCUCUCCAUCACCACCGCUAUCUAAGUCCAGUAUCCCAUCACCUGCCAUGUGGAUGACUGCAAUAGCCUCCAAAGUGUUUGCUCCUUGAUCAUUCUUGCUCUCCUUCAGUCCACUGCUAGCCUUAAAACAUAGCCAGAGUAAAAUUUUCUCGAGUGAUCAUGCUCUUUCCACAGUCAGCACCCUUGAGUGCGCCUCUGUUUCUGCCGUAUGAAAGCCAGCUCCUUUUCUCUGCCUCCAGCAGCCAUAUCACAUGGCCUCCAUUUAUGUUCCUAGUUUGUCUCUGGUCAUUCCACCCUCAUUCUUUUGAAACUGGUCAUACUGAACUUCCAUGUCCUUGAACUUGCCAUAUUCUACCCUGAGUCUGAGUCUUUGUACGGUCAUUGUUUCCGCUGUUUGGAACACUCCCUCCUCUUCCCUUCAUUUAGUGCAGUGGUCUACAUCUACAGUAAGCAAAAGUGAGAUCCAGAAAUUCCUUGGGAUAAUGUAGAAGAAGGAUUUUAAAGACCUCUCUGAAGGGAUGUAGGAAGAGAUGUUGGAGUAACUUUAUCAUGUGCUACUCGCUCACUUUCCCCUAUGUGCUCUAAAGGAUCCAGAGGUGUCCUUCACCGCAGUGUUGCACACUACAUGGGUAAAGGGAAGGCAGGCAUGGUGGAUACCACUGGUGCCAGAUCCACUUCAUGAGGCUGAAACAUCUAUCACCCAGCUGCUCUGAGUGCUGGCUAUAGCCUUCUCCAUGGAAUUCCUUCCCACCUAACAGAAGCCAUUCAUCUUAGGCAUUACAUCACUCCCAUUGCUCUCCUAAACAGCCAGAGGCCAGAGACUGUCUGACACAGGGAAUCUAAGGCAGCUCCCUUUGUUUCAAAGUGCAGGUAGAUCUGUGCAAGGCUUCAGUACUAGGAACCAGGCUAAAAUUAGUGCCCAGCCAAGACCUCCUUGCUUAGCUUUCUUCUUGUGCUCUAUACUGAUUCUUUCACUUCCCUUUUCCUGAGAACACUAACCAGUAAGUUAUUUUCACAAAUAAACCCUGGCCAAGUUCUGCUUCUAGAUAACCUGAGCUAUGACCACUCACACCAAAAAAUACAAAGGUGGCUAUCCUCAGAGGGCUGGAAUGAAGGUGGGAGAAGGUGCUGUUGAAAUAGCCUCCUUGGUUCCACUGUGGAUAUUUAGAUUCCUGGGAUGGGGAGACCAAGGAAUAGCAGUUACUUGCCAGAAGCAAGGUUGGCCUGGUUUCCGUCAAGGGCAAAUGGCCAGAUGGUCUAUCAGAAUGGUUUGACCCUCAAGGACCUCUUUUGUUGACCGACUGGUCACAGAGUCCCUAGAACUAAGAUGGAUGGGCAGCUCACUAACACACUCCUGAAACUGUGUAGCUAGAAAAACCUCUAUCUCAGAAGAGAAGUGAGCUUGAAUUAUCACAGAAGGUCAAGGCCCCUCAGCUAAUAACCAAGCCUGAGAUGGUUUGCAGAUCUGAUGCUGUGUGAGUGGAGGGGUGUGAUGUGACCUUGAGGAAGGACCUGAUGAUAAAAUCACAAAAAUAUCUUCUAUCUGCCUCUUAGCUUCUCUCAGGGGCCUGCAGGCAGCCACCAGAGUAGCUGCACUGGGGGAGGAACAUGUCCAGCCAUUUAGGGAAUCGUUGGUCUUGACUCUUAAAAUGCCACUGUGGUUUACCAGUCAGAAUAUGAAAUCAGAUGGAAAUGGUGUUUUGGUACAAGCUCCUAUUUUGGUCCAUGUCCAUCACACAAUGUGUCUCAUGGUUCCAUCCUACUUCCCAGAUACUUGAGAGUUUAAUUAGAAAAGGUGAAAUUAGCUACUAACAGAGUCUCUACAUUGGCUCUCUGUCCUCUGCAGCAAGGCUUAUUUUUUUAGUCAAGGAGGGUAGAGUACCUUGGAAUAGCCCCCAUUAUGCCAAAACAGACAACCCAAAGCAUGACUUAGCAAAAGCCAGCUAUGUACAUGCACCAUCUUACCUAAUGUAUUGACCACCCUGUGAAACUGGCAUCAUGAGCUUCAGUUUAUAGAUGAGAAGCCUGAGCUCCAGAGAGACUGAAGAAUGUGUUCCUAGAAAAACCUCCGUUUCUCAAUUCCGCAGGGCUUGGCUGCCAUGAAGUUGUUGUCUGGUGCUCUGUGGCCCUGUUUCCACUUUACUAUAUUAUAAAUGUGCAAGGCUUUGGACCUGGGUUUUGGUUGUGACAGGGAGCCUUAAAGGAAAUGCUGGCCACCUCUGCUCUCUGAGUCCCUGAGGCUGGACAAGGAAUAGCAAGGGAGCCUUGAAACAGGAUGGCAAAGCACUGGGUACCAUAUUAGCUAUAGCCACUUCUAGCCAUCUCCUUCUCUUCAGCUCAGAAUUCUUUCAGAAAUUCUAGAAUGAGGUAGCCUCUCCAGUGAAAAUUUCUUGUACCAUGUGAGCCUUCCUGUUCUAGACUGAAUUGUGUCCCCAGCAAAAUUCGUAUGUUGGAGCCCUAACUCUCAACAUGACUGUACUUGGCGAUUUAAGGAGAUAAUAAAGGUGAAAUCAGGCCAAAUGGUGGAGAUUAAACCCAGAAGAACUGGUGUCUAUAAGAGGAAGAGACCCCAGAGCUGUCCUUCCCCACAGGCUCACCACUGAAAGGCCCUGUGAAGACACAGCAAGGACAUGGCCAUCUACAGGCCAGGAGGACAGCUUCACCAGAAACCAAAUGGCCCAACACCUUAAUCUUCCACCUCUAGCCUCCAAAACAGUGAGAAAGUACAUUUAGUUGCUUAAGCCACCCAGUUUGUGGUAUUUAGUUAUGACAGCCCUAGAGCACUAAAGGACUUCCCUUAGCCGGCCUGGAGCCAGCCUCUGCACGGCUGUGCUGUUUGACCACAGAGGCUGCCUGUUUGUCAACCCCUAGCAGAGAGUUUGUCAAGUACUUUACUCCCGAUGAGAUUUCUAGCAAGAGUGGUGCCGAGGACUCUUCUUUUUUAAUCGACAUUAUUAUUAUCAUGAAAAAUUAUAUUCUACACUUGCCUUCUGCUUGGAGACUGAUUGUGAGGCCUGCAAUGAAUUGUGGAAUAAUCUUCACUAAGGCAUAAUUAAUACACACUGAUUCAAUUAGUCAGAGCCCUACCCCCAUCCUGCCCUCUUUCUCUUGCUAAAAAAAAUUUACAUUUAUAUUAGUCAAGCAGGGAAUGUGAGAAGGGGAAUGAAAAUACUCCAGCACUUUUGAGACCCUUUUCUCUUUGUAUUAUGGCGUGUUUUCUCCCAGCCCCUGAAGCUUUUCAGCUCUCAAAUGCUCCAGGACACAAGAAAAGGUCUGUCGGCUGGAACUUUGCAAGGGGACAUGCUCUCCCAAACCAGAAAUCGGCCUGCUGGAGUUCCGCUUGUGGCAUAGCAGAAAUGAAUCUGACCGGUAUCCCUGAGGAUGUGGGUUCGAUCCCUGCCUUGUUCAGUGGGUUAAGGAUUUGGCUUUUUCCUGAGCUGUGGUGUAGGUCACAGACGAGGCUCAGAUCCCGCAUUGCUAUGGCUGUGGUGCAGGCCAGCAACUGUAGCUCCAAUUCAAUCCCUAGUCUGGGAA